UUUAAGUGGACGAUCAUCGAUUCUCUUCCCGAUCAGAUUCAUCAUGAAAAUGUAUUUUUUUCUGUUCUUUUCAUUCAGCAGCAUUUAUGUUGCGGCUUAUGCUUAUGUUUUUGUGGCUUGGUAUUUCAUCAUUCAGCUUAUCGAGUAUCUUUCGUAACCAUUGUAUUUCUUGAACUUCAAUCCAUAAUGACAACAAUGCAAUUUAUAGAAGACAAAAAAUGCAACUUAUAAAUUUCAGAUAUAUGUAUAUUAUAUCUGAGGAAUGAAUUUCUUUUUAUGCUGCCAAUUAAUAAAUCUCAUUUAAUUAUUCAAUAACAAUAUACUUUGUUGCAAAAGCUUAAUCUAAUCGAUCGUUUAUUUACUAUAAUAUGUAUACCCGUCUGA